AGUGAACGCUGGCGGUAGGCCUAACACAUGCAAUUCGAACGGCAGCACAGUAAGAGCUUGCUCUUACUGGUGGCGAGUGGCGGACGGGUGAGGAAUACAUCGGAAUCUACUUUUUCGUGGGGGAUAACGUAGGGAAACUUACGCUAAUACCGCAUACGACCUACGGGUGAAAGCAGGGGAUCUUCGGACCUUGCGCGAUUGAAUGAGCCGAUGUCGGAUUAGCUAGUUGGCGGGGUAAAGGCCCACCAAGGCGACGAUCCGUAGCUGGUCUGAGAGGAUGAUCAGCCACACUGGAAAUGAGACACGGUCCAGACUCCUACGGGAGGCAGCAGUGGGGAAUAUUGGACAAUGGGCGCAAGCCUGAUCCAGCCAUACCGCGUGGGUGAAGAAGGCCUUCGGGUUGUAAAGCCCUUUUGUUGGGAAAGAAAAGCAGCAGGUUAAUACCCCGCUGUUCUGACGGUACCCAAAGAAUAAGCACCGGCUAACUUCGUG
rnacentral:rRNA from 1 species